rnacentral:tRNA from 1 species
AAAUAAGAAUUAUAAUAUAAUUAAUUUUAAUUUCGACUUAAAAAUAGGAUUGCUUAAUCCCUUAUUUU